GCACCACCUGCUUGGCCGAUUUUGGCACUAGCACAUUUUUGCUUGUGUCUCUCCGCUCUGAGCAAUCAUGUGCAGUGCCAAUAUGGGAGAAGCGGGCAG
ensembl:miRNA MIR96 microRNA 96